UAGAGACGGGGUCUUGCCAUGUUGCCCAAGCUGGUAUCAAACUACUGGACUCAAGUGAUCUGCUCGUCUCGGCCUCCCAAAGAAUAACUACAGAAAUAAUCACACACUGCAAUCUGGACAGCUGCCAUCUGCCCCAAGCUGUAGUUAUAGUCCUUCCUAGAAAUGAACAGACUCUCCUAGAAAUAAGACUGUCACAGAGAAUCCUUCUGGAUACAAACUCACAUGGACAUCAGAAUAUUUUGAGGAGGUUGAGAAGAGGAGUCAAAU
rnacentral:lncRNA from 10 species